UUCAAAUAUGGGUUUGUUAAAAUCGUCUUUAAAAUUAGCAUCUUUUCCCAUUCCUAUCUCCUGCAGAUAUAAGGGAUUCUCCACCAUUGUUCCUGAACCUUCUCCUUGUGACCAACGAAACCCCCUUCGGGAAACUCAACUUCGUGAGAGUUCGGAUUCGACCAAGAACAGAGCCCCAUUGGAGAGCAACAGAAGCUUCUCGAACUCUUCAAUUACCGAGAUGAACUCGACGGCAGCAUCCUUGACCCAAACAGUUCUCAGGAACGAGAGCUGAUGCAAAAUGAUGUCAUCGUUGUCGUUGUAGUCCUCGACAGAGAGGGAAAAUAGGGUUCCGAAGUCUACGAUUCAGCAAAGGAGGACUUCGUGGCAAGAUGGUGUUCUUGGCACAAACUAUCAUAUUCCUGCAAAGUGGAAUUGGACUUACCAGUUUCAGGUGAAAGAUCAAAUUGAAAGCUUUUUCUACUUCUCUUCCCUUCAUCUUCAAAGAUGAAGGGGUUUCAUCAUAAACAACAAACUUGUCAUUCCGAUUCCUUUUGAUACUCCAUAUGGGGGACAUUGUUGUUUUCAUUGGAGUAGUGAGUUUCCAUUUUAUGUUUUGAAUUAUGGUAUUGGUUUUUCUUCCAAUGAGCCCUAUGUUGCACGAGUAUAGGGAUUGGGUGGUAUGUCCUAAUAUUGAAAUUGUUUUUUAUUCCUUUUGAAAGAAGAUUUUGAAUGGUGUUAAUGUCUUAUGCCCUAUUUGGAAAUUGGAAGCAUGUGACAAGUUAGUGAACUUUUAAAAUUAGUUUGAAUAGUAUGAAAGAAUAACUACUGUGAAUGUUGAGGCUGAGCUUGAAUAGCUCUGGACUGGAGGAAUUAUUAUUGGGUUUUGAAAACAUGUUAAAGCAAGCAAUUGGCAAAAUCUGCAAAACCGAUGUUUAUGCUUGUGAAGGAAACAAAGUUUUGCCUUGGAUUUAUGUGCCUUCGAGCUUUUUCCACCAUGGACAAGUAAAGUCUCCUAUUCUUCCAUUUAAAUCGCAAUUUCUAUUUUUUAUAUA